CAAUAGCGUAUAUUUAAGUUGUUGCAGUUAAAAAGCUCGUAGUUGGAUUUCUGCUGAUCGCUGUCGGUCUGCCGUCAGGUGUGUACUGGCAGUGUUUGGCAUCUAUUCGAGAUUGGGUGUCCACUUGAUUGUGUGCACUCGAUGUCGGAGCUAAUACUUUGAGAAAAUUAGAGUGUUCCACGCAGGCGCGUGCCUUGAAUACUGCAGCAUGGGAUAUUGGAAGGCCGAUUGAGCUUUCUUGUUGGUUCUCGGUUUGAUCGGAAUGAUUAAUAGGGAUAGUUGGGGGCAUUAGUAUUUAAUUGUCAGAGGUGAAAUUCUUGGAUUUAUGAAAGACUAACAUCUGCGAAAGCAUUUGCCAAGGAUGUUUUCAUUGA
rnacentral:rRNA from 1 species